AAAGUGUAAACUAAUGGAACCUAGAAGAAC
rnacentral:piRNA from 1 species